GGGUUGUGAGGUUAAGCGAAUAAGCGUACACGGUGGAUGCCUAGGCAAUCAGAGGCGAUGAAGGACGUGCUAAUCUGCGAUAAGCGUCGGUAAGGUGAUAUGAACCGUUAUACCCGACGAUUUCCGAAUGGGGAAACCCAAUAUCCAAUGGAUAUUAUCAUUAACUGAAUACAUAGGUUAAUGAAGCGAACCGGGAGAACUGAAACAUCUCAGUACCCCGAGGAAAAGAAAUCAACCGAGAUUCCCCUAGUAGCGGCGAGCGAACGGGGAACAGCCCAGAGUCUUAAUCAAUAGCAGCAUCAGGAGAACGGUCUGGAAAGUCCGGCAGUAAAGGGUGAUAGCCCCGUAUCUGAAGAUGCUGUUAUUGUGAACUCGACGAGUAGGGCGGGACACGUGUUAUCCUGUCUGAAUAUGGGGGGACCAUCCUCCAAGGCUAAAUACUCCUGAUUGACCGAUAGUGAACCAGUACCGUGAGGGAAAGGCGAAAAGAACCCCGGCGAGGGGAGUGAAAAAGAACCUGAAACCGUGUACGUACAAGCAGUAGGAGCCUCUUCGUGAGGUGACUGCGUACCUUUUGUAUAAUGGGUCAGCGACUUAUAUUCUGUAGCAAGGUUAACCGAAUAGGGGAGCCGUAGGGAAACCGAGUCUUAACUGGGCGAAUGAGUUGCAGGGUAUAGACCCGAAACCCGGUGAUCUAUCCAUGGGCAGGUUGAAGGUUGGGUAACACUAACUGGAGGACCGAACCGACUAAUGUUGAAAAAUUAGCGGAUGACUUGUGGAUGGGGGUGAAAGGCCAAUCAAACCGGGAGAUAGCUGGUUCUCCCCGAAAGCUAUUUAGGUAGCGCCUCGUGAACUCAUCUUCGGGGGUAGAGCACUGUUUCGACUAGGGGGUCAUCCCGACUUACCAACUCGAUGCAAACUACGAAUACCGAAGAAUGUUAUCACGGGAGACACACGGCGGGUGCUAACGUUCGUCGUGAAGAGGGAAACAACCCAGACCGCCAGCUAAGGUCCCAAAGUCAUGGUUAAGUGGGAAACGAAGUGGGAAGGCUCAGACAGCCAGGAUGUUGGCUUAGAAGCAGCCAUCAUUUAAAGAAAGCGUAAUAGCUCACUGGUCGAGUCGGCCCGCGCGGAAGAUGUAACGGGGCUAAACCAUGCACCGAAGCUGCGGCAGCGACACUUAGGUGUUGUUGGGUAGGGGAGCGUUCUGUAAGCCUGCGAAGGUGUACUGUGAGGUAUGCUGGAGGUAUCAGAAGUGCGAAUGCUGACAUAAGUAACGAUAAUGCGGGUGAAAAACCCGCACGCCGGAAGACCAAGGGUUCCUGUCCAACGUUAAUCGGGGCAGGGUGAGUCGACCCCUAAGGCGAGGCUGAAAAGCGUAGUCGAUGGGAAACGGGUUAAUAUUCCCGUACUGGUGGUAACUGCGAUGGGGGAACGGAGAAGGCUAGGUUGUCCGGGCGACGGUCGUCCCGGUUCAAGCAUGUAGGCAGAGUGAUUAGGCAAAUCCGGUCACUUAAUGCUGAGGUGUGAUGACGAGCCACUAAGGUGGUGAAGCAAUUGAUGCCCUGCUUCCAGGAAAAGCCUCUAAGCUUCAGGUUACCAACAAUCGUACCCCAAACCGACACAGGUGGUCAGGUAGAGAAUACUCAGGCGCUUGAGAGAACUCGGGUGAAGGAACUAGGCAAAAUGGUGCCGUAACUUCGGGAGAAGGCACGCUGGCGGUAAGUGAAGUCCCUUGCGGACGGAGCCGAAGCCAGUCGAAGAUACCAGCUGGCUGCAACUGUUUAUUAAAAACACAGCACUGUGCAAACACGAAAGUGGACGUAUACGGUGUGACGCCUGCCCGGUGCUGGAAGGUUAAUUGAUGGGGUUAUCCGUAAGGAGAAGCUCUUGAUCGAAGCCCCAGUAAACGGCGGCCGUAACUAUAACGGUCCUAAGGUAGCGAAAUUCCUUGUCGGGUAAGUUCCGACCUGCACGAAUGGCGUAAUGAUGGCCAGGCUGUCUCCACCCGAGACUCAGUGAAAUUGAACUCGCUGUGAAGAUGCAGUGUACCCGCGGCAAGACGGAAAGACCCCGUGAACCUUUACUAUAGCUUGACACUGAACAUUGAGCCUUGAUGUGUAGGAUAGGUGGGAGACUUAGAAGUGUGGACGCCAGUCUGCAUGGAGUCAACCUUGAAAUACCACCCUUUAACGUUUGAUGUUCUAACCUAGGCCCAUAAUCUGGGUCGGGGACCGUGUCUGGUGGGUAGUUUGACUGGGGCGGUCUCCUCCUAAAGAGUAACGGAGGAGCACGAAGGUUGGCUAAGCAUGGUCGGACAUCAUGCGGUUAGUGCAAAGGCAUAAGCCAGCUUGACUGUGAGAGUGACGGCUCGAGCAGGUACGAAAGUAGGUCUUAGUGAUCCGGUGGUUCUGAAUGGAAGGGCCAUCGCUCAACGGAUAAAAGGUACUCCGGGGAUAACAGGCUGAUACCGCCCAAGAGUUCAUAUCGACGGCGGUGUUUGGCACCUCGAUGUCGGCUCAUCACAUCCUGGGGCUGAAGUAGGUCCCAAGGGUAUGGCUGUUCGCCAUUUAAAGUGGUACGCGAGCUGGGUUUAGAACGUCGUGAGACAGUUCGGUCCCUAUCUGCCGUGGGCGUUGGAAGAUUGAGAGGGGUUGCUCCUAGUACGAGAGGACCGGAGUGAACGCACCACUGGUGUUCGGGUUGUCAUGCCAAUGGCAUUGCCCGGUAGCUAAGUGCGGAAGAGAUAACCGCUGAAAGCAUCUAAGCGGGAAACUUGCCUCGAGAUGAGUCUUCCCUGUCACCUAGAGUGACCUAAAGGAACGUUUAAGACUAAGACGUUGAUAGGCUGGGUGUGUAAGCGUAGCGAUACGUUGAGCUAACCAGUACUAAUGAACCGUGAGGCUUAACCUGACAACACCGAAGGUGUUU
rnacentral:rRNA from 1 species